CUUGGAUAUUUACAGAGGAGAUGUGUUGCACAGGCUCUUCGAAACCCUGUUUUCCGAGUCCUGACAUUGACUGCCUGACUAUGCACCCUUCUCCUCCCUUCAUCAGCCUUCACCCAGUGGAUCAUCCCAUUUUCUUCCACAGACUAAUCCCUUCUCCAGCCCCAGUAGACAACAAAUGGAUCAUCUGAUUGAUAUCUCAGUAUUAGGAAAUCAUUAUCAGGCCCCAGAAAAUGAUUUUCUGUUACAGAACUGGGAUUAUUUAUUUAUUUCGGUACCAACGAAUCUAUUUUUCACUCAAUGGAGAUUUUCCAUUUUUGGCCCACAGCAAUAUCCGGAGAGAGAGAGAGAGAUUCCUGUAGAAUACAAGACAAGACUAUCACAAUGAGCUGAAAUGUUGGGUCUGUGAAAGUAAUGAGAAGCACAGUGGAAAUAAGUUUCUGAAGGAUGGAAGAGGCUGGAGGCUGGCUAGUGGGAGAAGGUUCCCAGACACGUGAGAGACCCAGCAACAGGAUGCAGCAGGAAGAUGUUGUCUAUGACGUCAGAGCCCUCACCAGACACUUAAUUUGAUGGCAACUUGAUCUUGGACUUCUCAGUCUCCAGAACUGUGAGCAAUAAAUUUCUGUUAUUUAUAAGUUAUCCAGUCUGAGGAAUUUUGGUAUAGCAGCCCAAAUGGACUAAGACAGUAGUAAAAUGUACCUAUGUUUUAUUUUAUAGCUUUGGAUUUUCUAUCCUGGAUUACAACAUUUUUCUGCCCUUGGCUUAUACAUAUUGUCUUCAGGAUAGUCUCUAAAUGUUUUAUUGCUUCAUUAUUUUACAUGUAAAUCUUUAGUCUACUUGGGAAAUAAUUUCAUAUAUUGUAGAAAAUCAUGUCCAAUAUAAUUAUUUUCCAUAUGAGUAGCGAGUGCCCCGACAUCAUAUAUUGAAAAGUGUAUUCUCUUACUUUGGGAGGCCGAAGCAGGCGGAUCCCUUGUGUCAGGAAUUUGAGACCAGCCUGACUAACAUGGUGAAACCCCAUCUCUAUUAAAAAAAAAUACAAAAAUUAGCUGGGUGUGGUGGUGGACACCUGUAAUCUCAGAUACUCAGGAGGCUGAGGCAGGAGAAUUGCUUGACCCUGGGAGGUGGAGGUUGCAGUGAGCAGAGAUCACACCACUGCACUCCGGCCUGGGCGACAGAGCGAGACUCCAUAGGCAACAACAACAACAACAAAAAGUGUAUUCUCUUCCAGCUGAACUGAAAUACCAAACAAAUGUUUAUAUGUAUCAGUAUAUAUUUGUGGAUUUUCUAUUCAGUUCUCUUAAUCUCACUGUCUCUUCUGGCUAAUGACCUAUUGGUUCAAUUACAAUAGUUUUAGAAUAGUUUGAAUCCUGGCAUGACGAAUGUCUUGCCAUUCUUUCUUUCUAUUUACUAAAUACUGUUUGGCUAUUAUCUAAAAGUUAUUUCUUUUUAUGAAAACUUUAAAUGCCACUUUAUGUAAUCAUAAAAAGCACUCUCUUGGGCUUUAACCAAAAUAUUCUUAUAUUUGUUAAUUUAGAAAGAUUUUAUAUUUUGUGAUCUCAAGUCUGCUAUCCAAAGAAAUGGCAUGCCUUUGGCUGGGAGUGGUGGCUCAUGCUGUAAUCCCAGCACUUUGGCUCACACCUGUAAUCCCAGCACUUUGGGAGGUCAACGUGGGUGGAUCAACUGACGUCAGGAGUUCAAGACCAGCCUGGCCAACCUGGUGAAACUUCGUCUCUUCUAAAAAUACAAAAAUUAGCUGGGUGUGGUGGUGGGUGCCUGUAAUCCCAGCUACUUGGGAGGCUGAGGCAGGAGAAUCACUUGAACCCGGGAGGCAGAGGUUGCAGUGAGCUGAGAUCGCGCCAUUGCAAUGGAGGCUGGGCAACAGAGCGAGACUCCAUCUCAAAAAACAAAACAAAACAAAAAGGCAUGCCUUUUCAUUUUCUAUAUCUUUAUCAUCAACAUCCUAUACCACUUCUAUAUAUUUUUUUAAGUUCUUUAUAAUUUAUUUUUUCUACUUUGAUGAAUAUUUUCUUCUCAUUUAUAUGUAAAGGUGGUUAUCCCUAACUUAUAAAUCCUAUUAUAAAUUCUAAUUUUUUCAGUCCUGGAAUUUUUGGGCAAAAAAUGUUAUUAUAAAAUGAUUUAAGCUCUUCUUUUGCAGUAUUAUGUACUUGAGUCUUUGCAUUUUUAGAACCUCCAAGUUAGUGUUAAAUUAUAAGGGUUAUUGAGGAUAUUCAUCUGACUUUUUAUUUUAUUUUGAGUGUUAAAUAUUGCCCAUUUAGGAUAAUAUUUUCUGUUACCUUUGGUCAUUUUAUUUUAUUUGUUUAACUCCUUCAUUUUUUACUUAAAAUGUAUUUAAAAGAAUAAUAAAUUUAAUCUAACAUCACUUCAGCAUUUGCACAUUUU
rnacentral:lncRNA from 10 species